GUUGCCCCAGCUAGUCUUGAACUAUUGGGCUCAGGCGAUCCUCCCACCAUGGCCUCCCAAGGUGCUGGGAGAGAGGCGUGAGCCACCAUGCCUGGCCCUGUAUUUCUCUCUUUCUGCAUUUCUGUUUCUCUUUCCCUCUUGCAUAUUGAGUGUUUAUUCUAUCCCUGGAAGUGUUCUAAACACUUCAACACAUAUUAAUACCUCAUUUCAGCUCACAAUAAUGCUGUUGGCAAAGUAAUUACUGGGCUUAUUUUUUAUUUUUUGAGACAGAGUCUCACUCUGUCUCCCAGGCUGGAGUGCAAUGGGGCGAUCUCGGCUCACUGCAACCUCCACCUCCCAGGUUCAAGCCAUUCCCCUGCCUCAGCCUCUCCAGUAGCUGGGAUUACAGGCACCUGACCAUGCCCAGUUAAUUUUUUAUUUUUAAUAGAGACAGGGUUUCACCAUGUUGGCCAGACUGGUCUCAAACUCCUGACCUCAGUUGAUCCACCUGCCUCAGCCUCCCACAGUGCUGGGAUUACAGGCGUGAGCCACCGCGCCUGGCCUUACUGGGCUUAUUUGACAGUCGGAGAACUGAAGUUGGCAGCGUUUUGGUGCUUGCCAAGGUGAGCCACACUUUUAACGCAGGCAGCCUCAUGUUGGGGCCACACUCCUAACCACAAACUCCCUUGCUGGGACUCAAAUCAGGGCCAUGUGGAUUCCAGAGUCUCCCAGCAGAGGAUGGUGGUUAAAGUCCCAAGGAUGGGGUGAGAAGAAGUUGAAGCGGGAUCUCCUAGUGUCAAGGAAAGCCAGGGACGUGCAGUGGCUGCAUGCUGUUGUGGUUCAGUGGGGAUCAUCAGCUGACGCCUCCCAGCCAUGAGGACUGGCCAUAUCCCAGAACACAGGACUGUCACUGCUAGAACCGGGACAUUUAUGGGUAAGCUGAGAUGGUUGGUCACCUACAAUGUGUGACCUCGAGCAAGUCACUUUUUCUCUGAGCAUGAGUUUCAUGGUCUGCAAAAUGGGGAUACUGUGGCCAUCGCACACUCUUUGAGGUUUUAAUGUGAUGAGCCAACAGGAAAACAACAAUGCAGUGCUUCUGUAUAUCACAGGACCACUGUCAUCCCACAGACACCAAGGACAGAGGGGCAGCCCCCUCCUCCUCUCACAGGCCCACUUACCUAUCCAGCUUGAGCUCUCCAACAAGCCUGUUGGACUCGGCGCUGACCUCCAUGGAACCAGUUGUGUGCUGCCAAAACAACAACCCAGGGUGAAGUGCCCUGACCCAGGCACCUGAUUGCAAGGCCUCCAAACCAAGAAGGGUCAGCUUCACAACGGCUCAGCAGGGCAGCAUACACUGUGGGGUCAGGCCCACAGAGCCAGAGGAGUGGGGAGACUUCCCUUGGCUUUGUGGCUGUUGAGUCCUAAACUGUCAAUUUCCAUUUUCUCUCUCUACUUCCAGGACCAUUUCAGAGUUCUUGGGCCACUCUCGGAGAGGCUGCAUAAGACAGGCCAGCCCCAUUCUCACAAUCCCUCAUUCAUUAAUUCAUUCAAAAAAUAUGAGAAGGAAGUCCCCGGUUCCCACCUCAGCUGUUCUGUGCAGUCUGUGUGGUCUUGGAUGACCUCUUAGGACCUAUUCUGUCUGCAAAGUGGGAAUAACAGGUCUCAGCUUGGGAGACCCAGUAGACCUGCCUAAGGCCUCUAAGUGCUUCCUGGUGCAGAGAGUGUCUGAACCACACCCUCAGUGGCCAUAUGGGUGCCACCAAAUCUUUGCGGAGUGAUGGAGUGAUCAAAGGGAUGAAUGCAUAAAUCAACAAUGGAGUGAAAACUGAGGCAAAUGAAGGAUUAAAAAAUAUGUGAAUUGAAGAAUAACAAAGAUAUGCAUGAAUGAAUAAAUGAUGGACGAAUAAAUGAACAAAUAUACAAAUGAAUGAUCAAUUGAACAAAGGUAUAAGUAAAUGAAUAAUUGAAUAAAUGAGUGCAAGUGGGAAUCAGAAAAUGUAUAACAUAUUUCAAGUCAACAAUCUAAUAAAUAACUGAAUGAAUUAAUAAUUGAAUGAAUGAACAAAUACACAAAUGCAUAAUUGAAUGACUAAAGAUAUAAAUGGAUGAAUUGGAACAGUACACAUAUUUCAAGCCAACAUGGAAUGAAUAAUUGAAUGAAUGAGAAAUUGACUGAAUGAAUAAUUGAAUGAAUAAGUAAACAAACGCACUAGUGAAUGGCUGGGUGAAUGAAUACCUCCAGGAGUCGGCACCAUUGAGUACAGUGACUCAAGCCUCAGGCUCCGGAGUGACACAGUCCAGGUUUGAAUCCAGACAGGAUUCACAUGGUCUCCUGACUCCAAAGACAGUGCUGUUGGGACUGUCUGGGGCUCCUCAUCUGUCCAACCCAGGAACUGCUUACCAUGCCAAUCAGGAAGAGGGAAGCCAGGGAGGAGUUGGGGAGGACGGCAAAGGCCUGGACAUCCACGGCAGGGUAGAAGGUGAUAACACAGCCUGCAUCGCGAAUCCAGGAGAAAAGGAUGGUCUUCCCAGGAAAUGGUGCCAGAAUAACUCGCUAUUCAUAUGGAAGAAAAUGAAAAUGAUUCCGUAUGUCAUCCCACACAUUAAAAAUCCAUUCCAGAUGGAUUAAGGAUUUAAAUAUAAAUGGGAUGCCCGGAAGAAGCCUUGCAUCUGGAUAUCAGCCACAGACACGGAGAUACUCAAAGAAGCAUUGUGCACCUGGAGAGAAACCAGAUCGCCAUUAACAAUCGAACAUAGAAACAUUGGCUGGGGGCGGUGGCUCACGCCUGUAAUUCCAGCACUUUGGGAAGCCGAGGCCGGGCGGAUCACUUGAAGUCAGGAGUUCAAGAUCAGCCUGGCCAACAUGGUGAAACCCUGUCUCUACUAAAAAUACAAAAAUUAGCUGGGUUUGGUGGCUCACACCUAUAAUCCCAGAUAGUCAGGAGGCUGAGGCAGAAGAAUCGCAUGAACCCAGGAGGUGGAGGUUGCAGUGAGCUGAGAUUGCGCCACUGCACUCCAGCCUGGGUGACAGAGCAAGACUCUGUCUCAAAAAAGAAAAUAGAAGCGUUGUAACAUGAAGAUGAUCAUAUGCUAUACAGCAGCCCCCGCUUAUCUGCGGUUCCACUUUCUGUGGUUUCAGUUACCCGUGGUCAACCUCGGUCCGAAAAUAAUUGAAAAGUUCCAGAAAUAAACAAUUAAUGAGUUUUAAAUUGUGUGCCGUUCUGAGAGCACGAUGUUUAGUCUGCCUUGCCUUGCAUUUGUCCUGGAAACUCCAAUAAAGCCUCUGGCCCAGUGCUGUCUUUGCCCCUGCUUCUACCUCCUCACCCAAGGGUGUACACUCCACAGGGUGUGCAGGAAGCAUGACGCAGGCAUCUGCACGGCUUCCUGGUGCUGCCUCCGUGGCCCUCUGUGGCACUGUGUGAUGCCUUGUCUUGGAAUUGUAAGUAAUCAAUUCUUUCUUUCUAUGUCAUCAGUCACCCCCAUAAAUUAACAUCCCUGCUUCAAUCAUUGAGGCUGGGGGGUUUGAUCAGGAAGGAGCAUGCAGAGUGUCGGGGGUAACAGCAGUAUUCUAUUUCUUAAAUGGAUUGGUGAGUUCAAGGGUAUUUAUUGUUAUUCUUCAGACUGUACAUAUAUGCCUUUGUCUCUAUGGCAUGUUCCACAAUAAAAAUGAAAAAAAUCCAUAAUUACUAUCAUUUCCUACAAAAGUAACACAUCAUUGUACCAAUGUUAAUGUCUUAGUUUUGAUAAAUGUCCUAUGGUGAUGUAAGAUGUUAACAUGAGGGGAACCGGAGAAAAGGAAUACUGGAAUUUUUCAUACUGUCUUUGCAACUCUUCUGUAAAGCUAAAAUUAUUUCAAGAUAAAACGCUGCUACAAAGCAAUGCAGAAGCUGAAGCAUGCAGAGCCUUGGAGGUCACUUUAAAGUGUUUGGGUUUUGUUCUCUGAGCAGUCGGGGGUCCCUGGAGGGUUUUCAAAAGGUGGGCAGGACCCAAUGGGUGUGAUAACAUAAAAUGCAACUUCUGAAGAAUUUCAAAUAUUGUCAUAGUUGUGGAGGCGGAACUUCCCUGUGGCCAGAUGGAGAUUGCUUUGACCACAGGCCUGUGCACCCCCGGGGUGAGGCCAUGGCCCCUGCUAGGCGGGGACACGUGGAGGGGAGCCAGAGAGAACAGAGCAUCCAUUGAUCAGCAGGACAGCUGUGGGGAGGGACAGAUCCACGGGCCGUAGGAGGGACCCUGGGAGAGAUGGGAAGGAAACGGAAGGAUAGAAGCUGCCGGGGUGGGUCGGGGAUUGGGAGGGAGGUCUGAGGGCUGAGAGAGGGCUUGGGAGCCCCCACUCCCUGCAAGCUUCCUGUGUCCCUCAGCCAAACCCUGAGCUUUCUCCCUCCUCAGGGCCCUUGCAGCCUGGCACCUCCUUACUCAGCAGAUCUCCUACCCCACACCAUGCACACACACCUGCCUCUCCUCCCUCCCUCUCUUCCUCUCCGCACCCAGAAGAGGCCCAACCCUCAACCUGCGGCCUUGCCCUCCUUUUCUGCAUUUUUUUUUGUCUUUUCAGCUUACAAGAUUUUUCAUCAUAAAAUCAGAUAAGACUCCCUCUAGAUCCCAGGUUUCCCUCCAGCCACCACUCUGGACUCCCUGCUCAGCCAAAGCUCCUCAAAGCUGCACGUGUCUCCUGGUGACUCUCCACCCUCCAUCCACUUCUUCUGCUCCCACCCACUUUCUACCCACAGGCCAACCCUGCCUUUGCCCAUUGUGGACCUCCCCCGGGGCUGCUUUCUCCCUCUCCAGCUCCCUGGGCUCCUGAGGCCCUAUAGACCCCUUUGCUUAUCAUCUCCCUCACUCGACGUAAGGCCAAUGUUACGAGUUAAAUUAUGUCCCUCCUCUGAAAAUUCCUAUGUUGAAUUCCCAACCCCCACAAUAUCACAGAAUGUGACCUUAUUUGAAUAAAUAGUCUUUACAAAGGAACCCACAUUAAAAUGAGGUCAUUAGGGUAGGCCCUAAUCCAAUAGCCUGGUGUCCUUAUAAAAAGGGGAAAUGUGGGCACUCGUACAUAUGGCAAAGAUGCCACGUGAACAUGAAGACGGCCGCCCGCAAGUUAAGAAGCCAGCCUGCAACAGAGCCUCCCCUCACAGCCCUCAACAUAACCGACCCCGUUGACACCUUGAUUUCAAACUUCUAGCCCCCAGAAUGGUGAGACAAUACAUUUCUCUUGCUUAUGUGACUCCAUCUGUAGCAUUUUGUUAUGGCAGCCCUAGGAAAAGAACCCAGCCCAUGAGGGUGGCGAAGCUCUGUUCCCUUCACCAUUUCCAGUGCCAAGAACAAAGCUUGAUGCACAGUAGCAGCUUCGCAAAUAUCUGUGGGUUGGAUAUAUGAAAAAACGUAUUUCCAAACUCAGUGGACACUCCUUUUGAUUAUCCGAUAAUUAUUUUUAAAACAUAUAUUUAUUAGAGGAAUAGAAAAAUGUGAGAUUCAAAAAGUUAGUGAACAGUACAUCCUUCCAGAGAUGUUCUAGGACAGUAUAAGCACAAGAUUUUGUAUUAGUCCAUUCUUGCACUGCUAUAAAGGAAUACUUGAGACUGCAUAAUUUAUAAAGAAGAGAUAUUUGGCUCACGAUUCCACAGGGUGGACAGGAAGCAGGAUGCUGGCAUCUGCUUGGCUCCUGGGGAGGCCUCAGGAAACUUACAAUCAUGGUGGAAGGCGAAGGGGAAGCCAGCACUUCACAUGGCUGGAGCAGGAGGAAGAGAAAGAGCAGGGAGGUGCCACACACUUAACCAGAUCUUGUGAGAACUCACUCAUUAUACAGUACCAAGGGGGGAUGGUGAUAAUCAUUCAUGGAAACUCUGCCCCCAUGAUCCGAUCACCUCCCACCAGGCCCCACCUCCAACCCUGGGGAUUACAAUUCUACAUGAGAUUUGGUGGGAACAGAGAUCCAAACCAUAUCAGCUAUCGUGUGUUAUGUAGUUGGGGGGCCUUUAAAAAGCUUCCACAAAUCUUUGUGAAUGAAACAUACUGCUGAGAACUUCAUGUUUACACUUUCUUUGUCUUGGGGAUGCCAGCCUCAGAUGGUCCCCAGGAAUCCCUGCCUUCAUGAAUAUCCCCUCCCACACUGGAUAGGGCUGACCGUGCUAGGACAUUGUGGAAAUAGUGUGUGACUUCUGAGGUUAGGUCAUGAGACACGGUGGCCCAUGGUGCUCCCUCUGGGAUCACUCGAUCUGGGGGAGACCAUGCUGUGAGGACACUCAGGCAGCCCUGUGGAGAGGUCUACAGGAUGAGGAACUGAGGCCUCCUGGCAACACCAGCACCAGCUCAUCAGCCAUGUGAGUGAGCCAUCUUGGAAGUGGAUCCGUCAGCCCCUGUUGAGCCUUCAGAUGACUGCAGCCCUGGCCAGCAGCAUUGUGACUGCAACCUCAUGAGAGGCUCUGAGCCAGAGCCACCCAGCUAAGCCAUUCCGGAAUUCCUGGACCACAGAAACUGUUCAUUGCCACUUUAAGCCCCUAGGCUGUGGAGUCAUUUGGUACCUAGCAGUAGGGAACAAAUACAACCUUUCUUUUAAUUUAAUUUUAUUUUUUGAGACAGGGUCUUGUUCUGUCACCCAGGCUGGAGUGCAGUGCUGUGAUCUCCAUGCACUGCAGCCUCGACUUCCCAGGCUCAGGUGAUCUUCCCACCUCAGACUCCCCAGUAGCUGGGACUACAGGCAUGCACCACCAUGCUUGGCUAAUUUUUGUAUUUUUUGUAGAGAUGGGGUUUCACCAUGUUGCCCAGGCUGGUCUUGAACUCCUGGGCUCAAGUGAUCUGCCUACCUUGGCCUCCCAAAGUACUGGGAUUACAGGCAUAAGCCACUGCACCUGGCCUCUUUUAAUUUUUAUUUUUAGAGAUGGGGGGAUCUUGU
rnacentral:lncRNA from 10 species